CUCGUAGGCGGCCAACUAAGUCAGACGUGAAAUCCCUCGGCUUAACCGGGGAACUGCGUCUGAUACUGGAUGGCUUGAGGUUGGGAGAGGGAUGCGGAAUUCCAGGUGUAGCGGUGAAAUGCGUAGAUACCUGGAGGAACACCGGUGGCGAAGGCGGCAUCCUGGACCAAUUCUGACGCUGAGGAGCGAAAGCCAGGGGGAGCAAACGG
rnacentral:rRNA from 1 species